ensembl:lncRNA
CUAAGAUCAGGUUUAGGGUGAGGGUUAGGAGCUAGGAUCAGGUUUAGGGGCUAGGAUCGGGUUUAGGGUGAGGGUUAGGAGCUAGGAUCAGGUUUAGGGUGAGGGUUAGGAGCUAGGAGCUAGGAUCAGGUUUAGGGUGAGGAUUAGGAGCUAGGAUCAGGUUUAGGGUUAGGAGCUAGGAUCAGGUUUCGGGUGAGGAUUAGGAGCUAGGAUCAGGUUUAGGGUGAGGGUUAGGAGCUAGGAUCUGGUUUAGGGUGAGGGUUAGGAGCUAGGAUCAGGUUCAGGGUGAGGAUUAGGAGCUAGGAUCAGGUUUAGGGUGAGGAUUAGGAGCUAGGAUCAGUUUUAGGGUGAGGGUAGGAGCUAGGAUCUGGUUUAGGGUGAGGGCUAGGAGCUAGGAUCAGGUUUAGGGUGAGGGUUAGGUUUAGGAGCUAGGAUCAGGUUUAGGGUGAGGGUUAGGAGCUAGGAUCAGGUUUAGGGUGAGGGUUAGGAGCUAGGAUCAGGUUUAGUGUGAGGGUUAGGAGAUAGGAUCAGGUUUAGGGUUAGGAGCAAGGAUCAGGUUUAGGGCGAGGCUUAGGAGCUAGGAUCAGGUUUAGGGUGAGGGUUAGGAGCUAGGAUCAGGUUUAGGGUGAGGGUUAGGAGCUAGGAUCAGGUUUAGGGUGAGGGUUAGGAGCUAGGAUCAGGUUAGGGUGAGGGUUAGGAGCUAGGAUCACGUUUAGGUUGAGGGUUAGGAGCUAGGAUCAGGUUUAGGGUGAGGGUUAGGAGCUAGGAUCAGGUUUAGGGUGAGGAUUUGGAGCUAGGAUCUUUAAGGUUAGGUUUUAGGGUUAGGUUUUAAGGUCAGGUUUUAGGGUUAAGGUUAGGUUUUAGGGUUAAGGUCAGGUUUUAGGCUUAAGGUCAGGUUUAGGUUUUAUGGUUAAGUUUGAAGUUUAAGGUUAGGUUUUAGGUUUAACGUUAGGUUUUAAAUGGGACUGAAUUGUGUGUCCCCACAAGGUUAGUUAUACAAGACUGUGUGUGUG